GGAAGCGGAGAGAACGACCGCCGCCUCAGCGCCUCGGCCCCGGACGCCCCCAGCGGCCGCACCCUGCAGCGCACCCGCGGGGCGGAAGCAGGAGCAGCGGGAGGGCGGGGAAAUUCGGGGCGGGAGGGUGCCUCCGCGGGGAAUCUAACCCACUACGGCAGUUAGCCGCGCGCCACGCUUCUCGGGUUAAAAAAAGACAAACCCGGCCAAAAAAGCUUACUUUUGCAGCUUCCUCUGCGCCUUUCCUUUCAGUUUCCUUGCACCCCCUCUUUUCUUCCCUUUCCUGUGAUUUCUUUCCCUGGGGUUUAAGAAUCAUGGGUUAAAAAGGGCAAACAAUCUACUACGUUGUUUGGGUCAAACGGAGAUCCAAGAACUAAAAUUUCCUUUCGAGUCUCUAAAUUCACGAGACUUCAAAUGUAAAACGAAGACAAGAUAGGAAAAAGGAAAGGGAUUAAGGUGAUGAAGGCCUUCGAAGUGCCCAUGCAAGGCACUGCUCAGCCAUUUUCUCGUGUUGAUGCCCUGUCUAAUCUUUGUCACCCAGGAUAAAAGAUAAUAAUCUGUCUAUAUAAAGAAGAGAAAUACUUAAAAUCAAAUUCUCCAAGGCAGGCUUUAAAAAUCUCCCUAGAUGAAUAGCAAUCAUUUGCCUUCUGUAGGCAUAUGCAGUGUCUACUGUUAAAUGUGUAUGACUUAGUUACAUAAUGUUCCUGUUUUGUUUGUUUGCUUUGCAGUCCUGGGGAUUGAACCUAGGGGUCCUGGAUGUACAUGCCAGCUAAGCUACACCCCCCCGCCCCUUUGUUUUGAGACAGUCUUAUCAAAUUGUCCAGGCUGGCCUCAAACUUGUGAGUCUCCUGCCUCGGCCUCCCAACUAGCAGGAACUACAGAUGAAAGAACUGAGGCAUGGGGAAAUUAAGCAACUCUUACAAGAUUACCCAAUCGGUCAAAUGUUAAAUAGUGCUGAGUUGGACUACCUUUAACCAGAGAAUGGGGAAACGUUCAUGAUACGUUUUGGAAUUAUACUCACCGGGACUGUUUUUCUUUCUUGAUAACACUCCACGAAGAGCAAGGAGCGGCUGGGUCCUCCAAGGCUCCAUGAGACCUUGAUACUAUAUCUGGCUACAGAGUCCACCAGGACUAGGGCUUCAACUUGGCUUAAGAACUACAAUUUCCUGCUCUAGCAACACAAUUAGCACCUUUCACAGUAGCACAGAUGUGGAAUCAACCUACAUGUCCAUGAAAGGAUGAAUGCAUGCGGAAAAUGUGAGAUGCAGAAUGUCUGGCGUUCCACGAACAAGUUCGAGAUCCUUCAAGACAGG
rnacentral:lncRNA from 1 species